UACGUAGGUGGCAAGCGUUGUUCGGAAUUAUUGGGCGUAAAGCGCGUGUAGGCGGCUUUGCAAGUCGGGUGUGAAAGCCCUCAGCUCAACUGAGGAAGUGCGCCCGAAACUGCAGAGCUUGAGUACCGGAGAGGAUGGCGGAAUUCCCCAAGUAGAGGUGAAAUUCGUAGAUAUGGGGAGGAACACCGGUGGCGAAGGCGGCCAUCUGGACGGAAACUGACGCUGAGACGCGAAAGCGUGGGUAGCAAACAGG
rnacentral:rRNA from 1 species